rnacentral:sRNA from 1 species
GCUGGUCGUGGUGGCACACACCUGUAAUCCCAGUGACUUGGGAGGCUGAGGCAGGAGGAUCGCCAAGUACAAGCCAGCCUCAGCAAUUUCACAAAGCUCCAAGCAACUUAGUGAGACCCUGUCUCAA